AAUAGUAACUACGAAGCAUCUUUGAAUGGUGAUAUUCUUCUCUUGGCCAGCUUAUGGACUGUGCGAAUUAUAGAGGGCCCUUGAUCGCUGCUGACUACGUGACUCAGAUGGUCCCAGAGGACCGCCGUCAACACGUCCGAGUGAUGGACAUUGCCGCAGGUACCGGCGCUAUUGGCCUUGAGCUGCACAAGAAAGGAUUCAC